rnacentral:rRNA from 1 species
GUGGGGAAUAUUGCACAAUGGGCGAAAGCCUGAUGCAGCGACGCCGCGUGAGCGAAGAAGUAUUUCGGUAUGUUAAGCUCUAUCAGCAGGGAAGAUAAUGACGGAACCUGACUAAGAAGCACCGGCUAAAUACGUGCCAGCAGCCGCGGUAAUACGUAUGGUGCAAGCGUUAUCCGGAUUUACUGGGUGUAAAGGGAGCGCAGGCGGUGCGGCAAGUCUGAUGUGAAAGCCCGGGGCUCAACCCCGGUACUGCAUUGGAAACUGUCGUACUAGAGUGUCGGAGGGGUAAGCGGAAUUCCUAGUGUAGCGGUGAAAUGCGUAGAUAUUAGGAGGAACACCAGUGGCGAAGGCGGCUUACUGGACGAUAACUGACGCUGAGGCUCGAAAGCGUGGGGAGCAAACAGGAUUAGAAACCCUGGUAGUCC